UCUCAUGCCGUCCUUGAAUGGUGCAUCCUGGCAUUAAGUUGUCGGGGUGAGAGCCGUUCAUCGUUUACUGUGAGAAAAUUAGAGUGUUCAAAGCAGGCUUAUGCCGUUGAAUAUAUUAGCAUGGAAUAAUAAGAUAGGACUUUGGUACUAUUUUGUUGGUUUGAGAACCAAGGUAAUGAUCAAUAGGGACAGUUGGGGGUAUUCGUAUUCAGUUGUCAGAGGUGAAAUUCUUAGAUUUCCGGAAGACGAACUACUGCGAAAGCAUUUACCAAGGAUGUUUUCAUUAAUCAAGAACGAAAGUAUGGGGA
rnacentral:rRNA from 1 species